rnacentral:rRNA from 1 species
GUGCCAGCCGCCGGGGUAAUACCGGCAGCCCGAGUGAUGGCCGAUAUUAUUGGGCCUAAAGCGUCCGUAGCUGGCCGCGCAAGUCCAUCGGGAAAUCCACCUGCUCAACAGGUGGGCGCCCGGUGGAAACUGCACAGCUUGGGACCGGAAGGCUCGAAGGGUACGGCCGGGGUAGGAGUGAAAUCCUGUAAUCCCGUCCGGACCACCGAUGGCGAAAGCACUUCGAGAAAACGGAUCCGACAGUGAGGGACGAAAGCUAAGAUCGCGAACCGGAUUAGAUACCCGAGUAGUCC